rnacentral:rRNA from 1 species
UACGAAGGGUGCAAGCGUUACUCGGAAUUACUGGGCGUAAAGCGUGCGUAGGCGGCUGCUUAAGUCGGAUGUGAAAUCCCCGGGCUUAACCUGGGAACUGCAUUCGAUACUGAGCAGCUAGAGUAUGAGAGAGGGAGGUAGAAUUCCACGUGUAGCGGUGAAAUGCGUAGAUAUGUGGAGGAAUACCGGUGGCGAAGGCGGCCUCCUGGCUUAAUACUGACGCUGAGGUGCGAAAGCGUGGGGAGCAAACAGG